rnacentral:rRNA from 1 species
UACGUAGGGUGCAAGCGUUACUCGGAAUUACUGGGCGUAAAGCGUGCGUAGGCGGUGUUCCAAGUCUGUUGUGAAAUCUCCCGGCUUAACCGGGAGGGUGCGGCGGAAACUGGGACGCUGGAGUGCGGGAGAGGUAAGCGGAAUUCCUGGUGUAGCGGUGAAAUGCGUAGAUAUCUGGAGGAACACCGGUGGCGAAGGCGGCAUCCUGGACCGACACUGACGCUGAGGAGCGAAAGCCAGGGGAGCAAACGGG